UGUCGCCGCGCCAAUCUGCUGGGGGAGAGGCAAGCAGACCCCAUGUUUGAGAGAAAGCCUCCAUCUCAUUCCCUUCUGUUCUGCAGCAGAGGCUGACCAACUUCAGGGCUCAUUAGAAGCUGGAAAACAAAACAAAACAAAACAAAAAAGCCUGUCCAUGAAUCCCAAAUGGAAGGAAGCUUCUUGGGCAAUUUCCUUAUGGGACAGUUCUAUCAAGCCUGAAGGUAAUACCUGGCCAGUUUUUCCUUCCUGAAUCAGAUGGAUUGCAUUUGGCCCCAUUAACAGAAACCUGACUGCAGGGGCUUAGCCAAAUAAGAUAGCAAGAUGGCCGCUUCCUCAUUGACUUCACAUUCUAGCUUCUGGGAAGAAGAAGUGGACAAACGGGUUAACAGCCCUGCUGAGUCUGACCCUUUUUAUCAGAAGAAAAAAAUUAAUCCCCAAAUCCAAAAAGCCAAACCAUCGUAAAAAGCUUCCUGAACCCCCAACUAGAAUUCCGUGUACAUCUCAGAGCUGGUCAGGUGGCCGCCCCCCAGUGGCUGUGGGGACUGGGGAGAGGAAUAUUUGCAUGCUAUGCAUUGUCUGCUUUAGUGACUUGGCCACUGAAGCAAAAGGGGAGGGAUGGCACCUAUCAGUCUGGGUAAGUCAGAACCCAUUGGAGCUGGAGGUGGUCAGUCUCACAAACCCUGAAGAUGCUACAGAAUGUCUUGGGAUGACAGUGAAGAGUGAGGACAAAGAGAAACAUCCAGGAAAAAGAAAAAAAUAUAUAGAUAUAGAUAUAGAUGUAAAUUGAGUGGUACUUCUUUGGUUAAUUCUGUAUCAGUGCUUCUCUACCU